GUUCUGUAUUACACUGAUUGCAUGAGAAGGGCAGCCAGACCCCAGUCUUGUUUUGACACCGAUGGAAGAGCAUGUGGCCGGAGGCGACACAGAUGCACAUGUGUCCGAGCAGGAUAAAGAUCAGUCAGAGCCAAGCACCUGUGCUGUUCAGCGCUCAUACACACAUACCGGCCUGGAGCCAGACCCACAAAGUCAGGGCCCUCAUUUGGGGCUGUGCUGGCCAUGGCUCUCUGGGCAUAGGUUCUUCUGGCUGCAUCGGAACAUCAAAUGGCACCCAGCUACUCUGCGCAAUAUUGUGCAGAACCCCACAGGCAAGGAUAAUGUCACAGACUUUCUCUGGUGUGUACAGUACAGUCCCCCCCACUGAUCCAAGACAGAGCCAUCUGCCCUUAAGCAGCCCGAUGCAGCGCUCCACCAUAGCGCUGAACCAAAAUGUGAAGUAAAAAUAUUAUAGCAGUAUAGUUACUUAACAAGGAGAGGACUCCAGCCUUGCAGCACGCUCUCCCAUAGCCGAGUCCCUACGCUACUAUUUUGAAAAAAUGAAGUUGUGUGUCCCCCCAGGCUACCAUGGUUCUGCUGAUAGUUGGCUGUAAAAAUACUAGAUCUAUCCCCUGUCUCCUGCUGAAAGGUCCCGGUGGCCAAAAA